GAUGAACGCUGGCGGCGUGCCUAAUACAUGCAAGUCGAGCGAACAGAUGAGGAGCUUGCUCCUCUGACGUUAGCGGCGGACGGGUGAGUAACACGUGGAUAACCUACCUAUAAGACUGGGAUAACUUCGGGAAACCGGAGCUAAUACCGGAUAAUAUAUUGAACCGCAUGGUUCAAUAGUGAAAGACGGUUUUGCUGUCACUUAUAGAUGGCUCCGCGCCGCAUUAGCUAGUUGGUAAGGUAACGGCUUACCAAGGCAACGAUGCGUAGCCGACCUGAGAGGGUGAUCGGCCACACUGGAACUGAGACACGGUCCAGACUCCUACGGGAGGCAGCAGUAGGGAAUCUUCCGCAAUGGGCGAAAGCUUGACGGAGCAACGCCGCGUGAGUGAUGAAGGUCUUCGGAUCGUAAAACUCUGUUAUUAGGGAAGAACAAAUGUGUAAGUAACUAUGCACGUCUUGACGGUACCUAAUCAGAAAGCCACGGCUAACUACGUG
rnacentral:rRNA from 1 species